rnacentral:lncRNA from 1 species
CAAAGAGCCAAGGUCUGGGAGGGGGAGCACCAAUCUUUGCCAGUCCUCUUAGCAUGGACCUACUCUGGGAGAUGGAGAUCAACACAAGAACCCAAAGAUUCCAAUUCCUAGCUGAGACCAUCCCAUGUAAAGCACAGCAUGAGACACUCUGCCUUCUCAGGACUCUGUCCAUUCCGAAAAAGGGAGACUAGGAGAUGAGGGUAUGGCUGGUGUGCUUUUGUCAGCUAGGUCCCAGGUAUGUUAGAAUGUAUUUUCUCAUUUUUGGAUAAAUUUCCCUCUCUAAUCCUAUAGAGUUUUUGUGUAGCUAAG